ACGGGUGAGUAACACGUGGGUAACCUGCCUGUAAGACUGGGAUAACUCCGGGAAACCGGGGCUAAUACCGGAUGCUUGUUUGAACCGCAUGGUUCAAACAUAAAAGGUGGCUUCGGCUACCACUUACAGAUGGACCCGCGGCGCAUUAGCUAGUUGGUGAGGUAAUGGCUCACCAAGGCAACGAUGCGUAGCCGACCUGAGAGGGUGAUCGGCCACACUGGGACUGAGACACGGCCCAGACUCCUACGGGAGGCAGCAGUAGGGAAUCUUCCGCAAUGGACGAAAGUCUGACGGAGCAACGCCGCGUGAGUGAUGAAGGUUUUCGGAUCGUAAAGCUCUGUUGUUAGGGAAGAACAAGUACCGUUCGAAUAGGGCGGUACCUUGACGGUACCUAACCAGAAAGCCACGGCUAACUACGUGCCAGCAGCCGCGGUAAUACGUAGGUGGCAAGCGUUGUCCGGAAUUAUUGGGCGUAAAGGGCUCGCAGGCGGUUUCUUAAGUCUGAUGUGAAAGCCCCCGGCUCAACCGGGGAGGGUCAUUGGAAACUGGGGAACUUGAGUGCAGAAGAGGAGAGUGGAAUUCCACGUGUAGCGGUGAAAUGCGUAGAGAUGUGGAGGAACACCAGUGGCGAAGGCGACUCUCUGGUCUGUAACUGACGCUGAGGAGCGAAAGCGUGGGGAGCGAACAGGAUUAGAUACCCUGGUAGUCCACGCCGUAAACGAUGAGUGCUAAGUGUUAGGGGGUUUCCGCCCCUUAGUGCUGCAGCUAACGCAUUAAGCACUCCGCCUGGGGAGUACGGUCGCAAGACUGAAACUCAAAGGAAUUGACGGGGGCCCGCACAAGCGGUGGAGCAUGUGGUUUAAUUCGAAGCAACGCGAAGAACCUUACCAGGUCUUGACAUCCUCUGACAAUCCUAGAGAUAGGACGUCCCCUUCGGGGGCAGAGUGACAGGUGGUGCAUGGUUGUCGUCAGCUCGUGUCGUGAGAUGUUGGGUUAAGUCCCGCAACGAGCGCAACCCUUGAUCUUAGUUGCCAGCAUUCAGUUGGGCACUCUAAGGUGACUGCCGGUGACAAACCGGAGGAAGGUGGGGAUGACGUCAAAUCAUCAUGCCCCUUAUGACCUGGGCUACACACGUGCUACAAUGGACAGAACAAAGGGCAGCGAAACCGCGAGGUUAAGCCAAU
rnacentral:rRNA from 1 species